AUGUUACCUCAGCCUAACAGUUCGGCAAACAGUUUAAACAUUAUGUACACUCCUGAAAACUUCUUUCAACAGCUUUGCAAAUCUUUGCAGCGAUCAAUUUUAUAUAUUAUUUUUUUAUUUUUAUUUUUUUCUGGUUACGCAACUUGACAUAAAAAAUAAUAUAUAUUUGAACGAUUUGUGUGAAAACAGGGAUCCAAAACAUAAAAUUAUUUUUAUAUUUAUGUGGAACCGAAAAAGUGGCUGUAUGUUUUUUAAGCGUGUUUGUUUUUGCAAUGUCCAUCGAAAAAAAAAACAAAAGAAUAAAUUUCUUUGCUUGUUUUUCUUCAGUUUGAACAGAAAAUCGUAAAAAAUAUCGAGUGCUGAUAUAGGACAAGAUGCAGAUACCAUCGAUGUUGGACAGUGGAUCCAUUUCAACGGUCGUAGUUACGAGUAUGGCCAGACGCUACAGCCGGCUCCUUGAGUUUUCAGCUGCGCAACCGAUCAAUUAUCAGCAAUAUAACCGGGACUAAGUUGACUUACAAAACCAGAACAGCCAAUCCAGCAGGAUUAUUACCGGUGAGAACAUUUUCGGAAGCUGAUACUUCCGGAAGUUGCCGAACGUUACAACCUGGGAGAACAUUCAAUCAACGCCCACAGUGUUUAAAAAAAAUGUUAAAUAGUUGGUAAGGAAAAGUAGUGAAUAAUAAAACUGAAAAUUGAACCUUUUUUAUAAUGAGAAAUAAUGAGACAAAAUAUGUGCAGUCUCAAUUUACUUCAAAUUCAAGCAAUAACGACUUCUUUUUUAUAAGUACAAUUUUUUCGACUCGGCAAAGUGCUUGUAAAUGUAUCAAUUGAAGUAAAUUGUGUACUAUUGUAUACAUGUUUCAUUAUUUCUUAUUGGAUGUCUUCAUCAUUUCCUAGCUUAUUUUUUUUUUCCUCUACGGUAUAAUCACAAAAGAACAGUACAAUAUAGGG